GCUUCAGUCCUACUUAGAAGGGGGGAAAAUAAUUAAGGGAGUUAGAGAGGAAGGGAGGGACCUGGAAAGGAGAGAGGAGGGGGAGGGAACAAAGGAGGAUCCAGGAGAGAAAUAGGGAGGGUCAGGAAAUUGAACAGAGCUGUGUAGCAGUGGGCAAUGGGGAACUACAGGUAGUCACUACAAAGGACCAGAUGCCAAGGAAGCAAGAGGUCCCCAGGAUUCAACAGGGAUGACAUUGGCCAAAACAUUCAACAAAGGGGAGAUAGAACCUGUAAAGACAAUAUCAAGUAUAUAGGCACAGCCCCAGGUUGAGGGAUGGAGCCAUCCACACAUCUCAAUAAUUUUAACCCAUAAUAUUUCCUGUUUACAGGUAAAGCAGGGUCAAAGAGUGGAGCAGAGACUGAAGGAAAGGACAUCCAGAGACUGUCCCACCUGGGGACCCAUCCCAUAUGCAGCCACCAAACCCAGACACUAUUGCUGAUACUGAGAAGGGUUUGCUUAUAGGAGCCUGUCAUAGGUGUCCCCUGAGAGGUUCUGCCAGAAGCUGACCUAUACAGAUGUGAAGACUCACAGCCAACUAUCAGGUGGAGAUGUCAAGGGUAAUUUCUGCUAAACAGCAUGAAGACCUAUCUGCUCCUGAGAAGGAAAGACCUCUAAGGACCCAGUCUGAUUUCCAGACAGAAUAGAGCCCAUUCAUGCAGAAGGUUUCUAUGCAAACUAGAGUUAAUUCAUUCAAUGCUUAUCAUUCUUCGAAGUAUAAAAGGCUUCAAAUCCACUAGCUGUUGUGACUACUGGUGUCAUUUCAUGUAAGUCUCUCAUGAAAUGGUCCCAUUGAUCUCAUACUAUAGGUGGUAUCACAUAUAAGAAUAUGUAAAGCAGAAAAGUCAGCAUAUGGAUUGGGAAAGAACACUGCAGAAUUCUGCAGAUGGAACAUAUUUUUGUGGGCACUUUGCAGAUAGCAACUCAUUUAAGAAAUAUUUACCCCCAAAUAUGGGCAUUUGGUUUUGUGAUUAUUUCAGUUGAACUCAAGAAACUAUUAUUGUAGAAAGGGCUCACCCUUUCUCACCAACCUCUUCUUUCUUAGUGAGAGCACACUCUAAGAAUUAUUUGAGAGAAGCAGUCUUUUAUGUACUAGAAUGAGAAAUAACCCUUCUCCACCAGCAACACAGAAUUGUUGCAAUGGACCUACACAAAUAUUCUUACCGAGACAACCUUUCUGUCAGCUUUACAAUUCACCUAUAUCUUCUAGUGAUAUCCUGGAAUGGGUUGUCCCAUCCUGUAGCCUUCUGUCCUAUCCUUUCUUUUCACAGAUUUAUGAUUCUUUGUCAAAAAAGAUAUAAAAGUUUCCUGCUCUUUCAUUUCUUUAAAUUUUUAGUAUCCUGUGAGGAUCUGCUUGUACCUGAAGAAGAAGAAUAAAAAGGUGUAUGAUUUUUCUCUUGUAAAAGUAAAAUAUAAAAAAAAGAAAGAGAGAAAUA
rnacentral:lncRNA from 1 species